GGGAACAACAGCUGGAAACGGCUGCUAAUACCCCAUAGGCUGAGGAGCAAAAGGAGGAAUCCGCCCAAGGAGGGGCUCGCGUCUGAUUAGUUAGUUGGUGAGGCAAUGGCUUACCAAGGCGACGAUCAGUAGCUGGUCCGAGAGGAUGAUCAGCCCACUGGGACUGAGACCGGCCCAGACUCCUACGGGAGGCAGCAGUGGGGAAUUUUCCGCAAUGGGCGAAAGCCUGACGGAGCAAUGCCGU
rnacentral:rRNA from 1 species